CUAUGUAGCACCGUGGUCCAGCUGAUGGUGUCGCGGUUCUGCUCGGGCGCCAUCGCCUGAAGGUCGCUGUUGCCGGUGACGAGGACAGAUGGGAGGACGCUGCCGCAACGGAUCUGCUCCCCAUUCCCCUCCACCGUCGGUGACCAUGUGCGGGUAUCUCCCGGGAUCCAGGUGUGGUCUCGCCGCCAUGGAUGCCAGAGGAGGAAGAGGCGCUCUUCCAUGUCGGCUACAGGAGAAAGAGGAGGAGGAGGCGCUUCUCCGGCCAGACCCGGGGUCGGGGCCGGCACGCCACAGGCAUCUACGCCUACGACCACGACCACACGCACGGGCUGACGCCGCUGAUGAAGAUGCGUACCCUUAGCCACGAAUUUGUCCCCGAUCCCAUCCAUGCAGGUGGGCUUCGCUGCCAUGGAAUGACACCUCUGAUCUCCCAUGUAGAUGAGCUUGGGUUCAUGGAAGCCAUGUCCAUAAAGCAAACUGAGUGCUUCGAAGUUUUGUAGAAAAGGAAUCGGAAGCUCGGAGAGACCUCGCGUCAAUCAACAGGUUUGACUCCUUUUAGUCUUUGGUUAUUUUCAAAGUGAAAACCCAUGAAAUGUCGGGAUCAAAAUCCCAGGUCAGAUGGAACUAUGGGCAUUCAUGAUUACUGUACAAGUAACCGAUUUCGUGGAGCAUGCUUCUUACUUUCUUGUCUGAAUGCUUAAUAGUAUAUUACCCUUGCAAUGUAAUGGAACCAUAGACUUUAUACCAUUGAGUGUAUGAAACACUGCAUAUAUUUUUCUAUUUUUUACUCAACAACAACCAAUCAGUGUCAAUGAAGGGUCUCUUACAUUUAUUAGCAGUUCCGACCAUUUCCGGAGUACAUACAAACCAGAAAAGUGGAAGCAAAACAAAAUUUGGAUCACAUUUUAGAUCUGUUGUUGAAAACAAAGUUUCUAUCAGGAUUUAGAUAUGUUAUUUCCUUGUUCUAAUCAGCAUAAACUGAAUUCUCUUAUCUGAUUGCAAAUUAUCAUCAAACUGUGGUGUUUCAUCGAGGAUGAUCUUUAUCAACAAUGAGGUAAUUGUGCCUGGAAAUUGCUUUCAAAAUUUGAAUGCUUUGGAGCUAACUCAUGUUAUAAUUUUGCAACGAUGAAUUAGAUCUUCAUAGACAAUUACAUCUUUAGGAGGAUUUGCAAAAUAUGAGAUUUCAAAUGGCUUGAAUAGGAAGAGAUGCAGAUCAUUAUUCUGGACAGUUUUAAUCAAGGACAAUUGAAGCCUAUUGAUUUUGAAUCGUUGACACAUGGUUUGCUUGAGACAAGCGAAGCUGCCAAGGUGAUUUGUACACCUAAACUGCUUCAAGUAUUUGCCUGAUUUGCAUGGCAAGAAUAGUAGGAUUAUACAGGUUAAUGUCAAGGGCUUGAAACGUGUGAGGGAAGUAAACAUGGAUCUGAUGGUGAUGGGAAUCUUUCUUAUAAAGAAAGAUACAUAGGGUGUAUUAUCUGGUGCAUAUUAGAUAAUCAAAGUUGAUGCAUAUGUUACAGAUCUUCCCCGCGAGGCGCUACAGAUCACAUGGGCACUGUCAUGAAGGCCGCGAAGGCGUGGCCGGCGGCAUGGGUUAGCCUGUGGGUGGUACCACCAUGCUGCUCUCGACGUGCAUUGUGGUGCUGCUCGUGGCGGCUUUCGGAGGGAGACAAAGUGCAGAACAUAGAGAAUUUGGGAGCUCCUCGGGUUUGGAUCAGCAAGCCAUGUCCGUUUGGUUUGGCAAAGGAAGGCCUUUUAUCCUUUUUCUAGAAUGCCAUGAACAUCUCUGAAUUUUCACACUGGUUCCGACCGAUGGUUAAUAUUUUUUUGAACAUAUUUGUGACUGGAGCCCACACAUACAUAGUCAUGGAUCUGAUUUUGUGUUUUGGACCUUGCUAUUUCACUGAUUUGGAACAUGUAUAUGCAGUUCUAGGCUUCUAGCUAGAUGGAUUAAUAGAUAUGUUGGACCUAUGCAUUUUAUAUUACCCGCAUGGAUCUAUGUUUAUUAUUUGAUGCUCCUCCUUAUCCUGGAGAAGAAUUUUUGCAAACAGUUGUCAUAUUUGGAGAUAUGGAUUUGUUGUCACUUCAGCAUUAUGCUUUCAGUGCUACAGAGUAUGCGGUGAAAUUAGAUUAGAUUGAUGAUUAGCAAUUAACUAUAGAACUGUUGGCAGCACCAGUUUAACAUAUGUUAAUUUCUGGCCCAUCUUUAUUUGCUUUCGAGUUAAACUAUGAAUUUGAAAACAAAAAAAUUUAUACAUUUGUUGAUGCUAAAUUUAUCAGUCCUUCUGUUUCGAUAAUCACCUCCUACAUAUGUGUUGCUGGGUAGUUUUCUUACUGCUACAGCUAGGUUGUUCUAGCAGGAUAAUGUAUUUUCUUAUGGAAAACACGGAUGAGUAAUUACGUGAUAUACUAUUAAUAUUAAACUAUGUUGUUUCUCUGAAACUAACUUUGUAUUUCAGCUUUGGAAACUGGUGUUCUAACGUUAGUUCCGACAAGAGGGCCACUAUAACCACCAUCUGGUCAGAGUUUCGUCGCUGCGCCAACAUUCGUGAAGGAGACGUCUGUACAUUUCAUUUCAGGAUCACUUCAAAGCGCUGCCUGGUUUUCACCGUGCACCGCCUCUAGAUGCACCAUCAAAGACACUGCAUCCCCUGUGUCAAUAUAAUCUAUCACUAAAUACUCUUAAUUAUGCUCUAUCCUGUGAUAACUUAUGGUUUGCUUUUGGCCCUCUUAUCACAUGCUUUUCAAGAUGCUAAACAUAUGUUGUUGCUUAUGUAAAGUGCACUAUUCUCAGUCAGAUGUUUCAUGUUCA